rnacentral:lncRNA from 1 species
AUGUUAUUUCUGUUGCUCAUGGCUUGAUAAAGUCAUCAUUUCCUUUAUUGUUCCCUUAACAGGUAACACCAUGUUGUUGAGAGUGUUACCUGCUGUGUAUGAAAAGCAGCCUCAGCCAAUUAAUAGACACCUGACAGAACUCCUGGCCUUGAUGUCUCAGCUGGAACAGCCAGAACAGUACCAUCUACUACGGCUUUUGCAUGUAGCAGCAAAGAAAAAACAACUCGAGGAUACAUGCUCUACCUCUAGAGCUUCUCUUGAACUGGAGGAUACACAGAGAGAAACGAGAGGCUGCCAGGAAGAGGGAAUUCGAAAUGGAUUCUUGAGGGUAGUUCAGAAGUGUAUUCCUUUCCUAAUUGGGCAUUUGAAGGAUUCAACCCAUAAUGACAUCACCCUAAACAUCCUAAUAGAGAUAGCAGGCUAUGAGCCAGUGGCUUUGAAUGGUUUUCUUCCAAUGCUGAAAGAAGUUGGUGAGAGAUUCCCCUACCUCAUUGGACAGAUGGCAAGGAUUUAUGGAGCUGUUGGGCAUGUGGAUGAACAAACUCCAUGGUUUGAUCUUUAAGAAGAGCAGAGUCUCCUGAGGGUUUGCAAUCCUCAGUCCAGAAUUUGGCCAUGGGGGCAGAGACAGACUGGAAUCACACAAGUUAUUAAUUGGCUUCACCUUCUGUGCUUGCAUGAAGCCAGGUGUAAGAACUGCAGGGCUGGCUACUGGGAACUGACCGGGUGUGCCUGUCUUUCAAAUGAGCGCCCAUCUGGGUGACCAGACUGUUUUCAACAGCUUGAUAGCAGCAUCACAAUUUUUCCAUCUGUAUUACAUUCGGCAGAGAAGAGUUGUAUAUAUAAAACAAAAACCAAAAUCUUACAGAUUGUUAUUUUCUCUGUCUCCCAGAUUAACUCAGGGAUCUUUUUUUG